ensembl:lncRNA
GUCAGAGGGGUCAGGUGUUGAGGAGGAGGGUGACUCUCCCAGCCAGAGGGGUCAGGUGUUGAGGAGGAGGGUGACUCUCCCAGUCAGAGGGGUCAGGUGAUGAGGAGGAGGGUGACUCUCCCAGUCAGAGGGGUCAGGUGUUGAGGAGGAGGGUGACUCUCCCAGUCAGAGGGGUCAGGUGUUGAGGAGGAGGGUGACUCUCCCGGUCAGAGGGGUCAGGUGAUGGGGGGGACUCUCCCGGUCAAAGGUUGACUAGUUCUGUGUGUCCUGAAUUAGAGGACUCAACAGGGAAUGAGGAGUGGACGUCUUCAAGCUCUCCUUCAAAGCAGCUGACAGUCAUGUGGGUGUGGAAGGUUAAG